GAGCAACACAGGCGAGUGGAAGUGGAGACUUCUUGUACGCAGCAAACAGAAUCAUUGGAAAUUCUGGAAAAAUGGAGUCUGUCUGAAAACAGUGUGCAUAGAAGCAGAAGAUCAGAGCUGGAAGGAGUCUCCGAAAGACAGCUCCACCCCUUAAUUUACAGAAAAGGACACUGAAGACAAUGGGAAUCAAGAAUUUCCCUACGGGCAUUUGGGAAGAAAUGAAAGAGCACGAGUUUAAAGCCUUGAAGUCAAUAUCAUACGUAAAUACAAUUACAACGCCUGGCUCUAUUUUCCCCUUUUGUCUUUUCACUGCUGUACAAGGUUUCAUAAGAGAGUUAUU